GAAUUUUACUAGGGGUGCCAGAGAACUGGCUGAGAGGGCAUAAUGCCUAACCCUUUGAACCUGUCUGGUUAGAACCGACGUAGGAAAGUAAUUAUGUCUCAAA
rnacentral:ncRNA from 2 species